GAGCGGCGGACGGGUUAGUAACGCGUGGGAACAUACCCUUUUCUACGGAAUAGCCUCGGGAAACUGAGAGUAAUACCGUAUAAGCCCUUCGGGGGAAAGAUUUAUCGGGAAAGGAUUGGCCCGCGUUAGAUUAGAUAGUUGGUGGGGUAAUGGCCUACCAAGUCUACGAUCUAUAGCUGGUUUUAGAGGAUGAUCAGCAACACUGGGACUGAGACACGGCCCAGACUCCUACGGGAGGCAGCAGUGGGGAAUCUUAGACAAUGGGCGCAAGCCUGAUCUAGCCAUGCCGCGUGUGUGAUGAAGGUCUUAGGAUCGUAAAGCACUUUCGCCAGGGAUGAUAAUGACAGUACCUGGUAAAGAAACCCCGGCUAACUCCGUGCCAGCAGCCGCGGUAAUACGGAGGGGGUUAGCGUUGUUCGGAAUUACUGGGCGUAAAGCGUACGUAGGCGGAUUGGAAAGUUGGGGGUGAAAUCCCAGGGCUCAACCCUGGAACUGCCUCCAAAACUAUCAGUCUAGAGUUCGAGAGAGGUGAGUGGAAUUCCAAGUGUAGAGGUGAAAUUCGUAGAUAUUUGGAGGAACACC
rnacentral:rRNA from 1 species